GAUGAACGCUGGCGGCGUGCCUAAUACAUGCAAGUCGAGCGAACAGACGAGGAGCUUGCUCCUCUGACGUUAGCGGCGGACGGGUGAGUAACACGUGGAUAACCUACCUAUAAGACUGGGAUAACUUCGGGAAACCGGAGCUAAUACCGGAUAAUAUAUUGAACCGCAUGGUUCAAUAGUGAAAGACGGUUUUGCUGUCACUUAUAGAUGGAUCCGCGCCGCAUUAGCUAGUUGGUAAGGUAACGGCUUACCAAGGCAACGAUGCGUAGCCGACCUGAGAGGGUGAUCGGCCACACGGGAACUGGGACACGGUCCAGACUCCUACGGGAGGCAGCAGUAGGGAAUCUUCCGCAAUGGGCGAAAGCCUUACGGAGCAGCGCCGCGUGAGUGAUGAAGGUCUUCGGAUCGUAAAACUCUGUUAUUAGGGAAGAACAAAUGUGUAAGUAACUAUGCACGUCUUGACGGUACCUAAUCAGAAAGCCACGGCUAACUACGUG
rnacentral:rRNA from 1 species